rnacentral:rRNA from 1 species
AUGUUCUACUUCUGUACAUUAACAUGUACCCGACAUACCAAGGGCUCGGCAAACGGCAGGUGCGUCAAAUCGGAGACCUUCCUCGCCGGAGGCCGUCGCUGGUACGUCGAGUUCUACCCCGACGGCCACGGCCCGCGGGACGCUGGCUGGAUAUCCGUCUUCCUCUUCCUCGUCCCGGCCGGCGCCUACGAGGUCGUGACGACGCAGCUCAAGAUCAGCCUGCUCGACGCCCACGGGAAGCCGGUGCCGUCCUACGGGUCGUGGGGUUACUCUCGGUUCAUCACCAGGGCUGAUCUCGGGAGAUUAGGUCACGUGUCGUGGGAGAACGGUGGUUUCAGCGUCCAAUUCGAUAUCAUCGUGUCCAAGGAGACUUCCACUGAGUACGUUCCUGUUCGCAUGCUAGUGCCGCCGCCGGAUAUCCUCCAUGAUCUCGGUCAGCUCCUCUCCACCGGUGAAGGGGCCGAUGUCACGUUCGAGGUCGGCGGUGAGAUCUUCGUCGCACACAGGUGUGUCCUUGCCGCUCGUUCCUCCGUCUUCAGGGCAGAGCUUCUGGGUCCAAUGAAGGAGAGCACAUCAAUGUGCGUGCACAUAAAGGACAUGGAGCCAAAUGUAUUCAAGGCAUUGCUUCAUUUUAUCUACACCGAUUCCGUGCCUGAGAUCGACGAUGCUGAUGCACUAAGCAUGAUCCAGCAUUUGCUUGUUGCCGCGGACAGGUACGGCCUCAAGAGACUGAAGUUGACCUGCGAAGAGAAACUAUGCACUUACAUCAACACUAGCACAGUGGCCACUACAGUGGCACUCGCCGAGCAACAUGCUUGUACUACACUCAAGGAGGAAUGCUUCAGAUUCCUCGAGUCAUGUAACAAUAGCAUGCUGGAUCUGAUCACACGGAGUUCUGACUUUGAGCAUCUCGCAAGAAGUUGCCCGUCUAUUAUCAAGGAGCUUAUUCCCAAACUUCCUCGCAAACCCCCUUGUGUAACAAACUAUGGCAACAUGUAA